rnacentral:snRNA from 1 species
GUGCUCGCUUCGGCAGCACAUAUACUAAAAUUGGAACGAUACAGAGAAGAUUAGCAUGGCCCCUGCACAAGGAUGACAUGCAAAUUGGUGAAGCAUUCCAUAUUAAA